UGUCGGCGAUCCGCAUCCCCAAAACACCGGGGGUUGCCGGAGACGCUCGGCCGAAUUAGCUCCCUCCUCCAUCUCCGAUGGCCGCCGCCUCCCGCCGCCUCCGUGACCUCCAGUCCAUUCCCGGCAACAAGACCUGCGUCGACUGCCCGCAGCGCAACCCGCAGUGGGCCUCCGUCUCAUACGGCGUCUUCAUCUGCCUCGAAUGCUCCGGCAAGCAUCGCGGCCUCGGUGUCCACAUCUCCUUCGUCCGCUCCAUUACCAUGGACUCCUGGUCCGAGAUCCAGCUCAAGAAAAUGGAAGCCGGUGGCAACGAUCGCCUCAAUUCCUUCCUCUCAACCUACAACAUCCCGAAGGAAACCGAUAUUGUCGCCAAGUAUAACACCCCAGCCGCCGGUGUUUAUCGGGAUCGGAUCAUCGCCCUCGCUGAGGGCCGCCCCUGGCGUGAUCCGCCCGUCGUCAAAGAGGCGGCGAAGAAGCCAUCGCUUGCG
rnacentral:misc_RNA from 1 species